UUCAGUAUGUUCUCCCCUCACCUUCCCAGCCUUGUAGUACCUAUGGCCCUGCUGAUGUAACAAUGUGAUGGUGGAAUGCUUAGGAUAACUCAUGGCUCCUAACAACCUCCAGCAGCCACAACAUGAGCCACAGCUAGCUGAAGUUGAAUCUGGAGGCAGUGCACAAACAGUUCAGGUACUACUUAACCUUCCAGGUCCCCAAGAAAUGUAGGCUCUACUCAUCACCAGGAGGCUGCUAGUGAUCAGGGGCAGGAGAGAGGCUGACAGUGAGAACACAACUCGAUCUGGGUCCAGCCACUGCAGAGAAGUCAUAUGGCAGUGCCUCAGAUGAAAAACAAACACUGUGCAGGCUGAUUCACCAGGA